GGUAGCACAGAGAGCUUGCUCUCGGGUGACGAGCGGCGGACGGGUGAGUAAUGUCUGGGAAACUGCCUGAUGGAGGGGGAUAACUACUGGAAACGGUAGCUAAUACCGCAUAACGUCGCAAGACCAAAGUGGGGGACCUUCGGGCCUCAUGCCAUCAGAUGUGCCCAGAUGGGAUUAGCUAGUAGGUGGGGUAACGGCUCACCUAGGCGACGAUCCCUAGCUGGUCUGAGAGGAUGACCAGCCACACUGGAACUGAGACACGGUCCAGACUCCUACAGGAGGCAGCAGUGGGGAAUAUUGCACAAUGGGCGCAAGCCUGAUGCAGCCAUGCCGCGUGUGUGAAGAAGGCCUUCGGGUUGUAAAGCACUUUCAGCGGGGAGGAAGGCGGAUGAGGUUAAUAACCUCGUCGAUUGACGUUACCCGCAGAAGAAGCACCGGCUAACUCCGUGCCAGCAGCCGCGGUAAUACGGAGGGUGCAAGCGUUAAUCGGAAUUACUGGGCGUAAAGCGCACGCAGGCGGUCUGUCAAGUCGGAUGUGAAAUCCCCCGGCUCACCCUGGGAACUGC
rnacentral:rRNA from 1 species